rnacentral:rRNA from 1 species
UACACUCCUGCGGGAGGCAGCAGUGGGGAAUAUUGCACAAUGGGCGGAAGCCUGAUGCAGCAACGCCGCGUGCGGGAUGACGGCCUUCGGGUUGUAAACCGCUUUCGCCUGUGACGAAGCGUGAGUGACGGUAAUGGGUAAAGAAGCACCGGCUAACUACGUGCCAGCAGCCGCGGUGAUACGUAGGGUGCGAGCGUUGUCCGGAUUUAUUGGGCGUAAAGGGCUCGUAGGUGGUUGAUCGCGUCGGAAGUGUAAUCUUGGGGCUUAACCCUGAGCGUGCUUUCGAUACGGGUUGACUUGAGGAAGGUAGGGGAGAAUGGAAUUCCUGGUGGAGCGGUGGAAUGCGCAGAUAUCAGGAGGAACACCAGUGGCGAAGGCGGUUCUCUGGGCCUUUCCUGACGCUGAGGAGCGAAAGCGUGGGGAGCGAACAGGCUUAGAUACCCUUGAGUCCCAUGAU